GACGAACCGUACGAACGCUAUUCGGAAUCACUGGGCUUAAAGGGUGCGUAGGCGGCGCGACAAGUUGGGUGUGAAAUCCCUCGGCUCAACCGAGGAACUGCGCCCAAAACUGUCGUGCUCGAGGGAGACAGAGGUGAGCGGAACUUAGGGUGGAGCGGUGAAAUGCGUUGAUAUCCUAAGGAACACCGGUGGCGAAAGCGGCUCACUGGGUCUCUUCUGACGCUGAGGCACGAAAGCUAGGGUAGCGAACGGG
rnacentral:rRNA from 1 species